GAUGAAGAACGUAGCGAAAUGCGAUACGUAAUGUGAAUUGCAGAAUUCAGUGAAUCAUCGAAUCUUUGAACGCACCUUGCGCUCCUUGGUAUUCCGAGGAGCAUGCCUGUUUGAGUGUCAUUAAAUUCUCAACCUCACCAGUUUUCUAAACUGUUCUUCGAGGCUUGGAUGUGGGGGUUUGUGCAGGCUGCCUCUCUGGCGGUUUGCUCCCCUGAAAUGCAUUAGCGAGUUCAUACUGAGCUCCGUCUAUUGGUGUGAUAAUUAUCUACGCCGUGGACGAGGUUCAGACUUGCUUCUAACCGUCCGCAAGGACAAUACCUUGACAAUUUGACCUCAAAUCAGGUAGGACUACCCGCUGAACUUAAGCAUAUCAAUAAGCGGAGGA
rnacentral:misc_RNA from 1 species